CCUCAGAGCAAUGAUUCCAACAGUAGGUCCGUGAACGGCUCAUUAAAUCAGCGAUUAUCUACCCAGUUCUGCGGGGCUUGCCCCGUCACACGGAUACCGAUACUAACUGUAUCGCUAAUACGUGUAUGAGAACUGCUCUCUCGUCCAACACACUGCCCACGUUUCUGGAUGCGUAGAUUGACUGUGCUCUUUCGGUCGUUGCAUGUUUUCUUCUCGAAGAGGAUGUGCGGCUUGUACUGGAACUGUGCGGGAGAUUUCGUUAUUCGAAGCGAUACCAAAUGGGUGGUGUGGAGGGAGCAGGCAGUUGACCGGCACCAAAACUAACGCCACCAGUUCCAACCAAGCUUCGGCAAGGAGUACUGGUUACAAUGGCAGCGAAACGUGCUUUUACGCACCUCUCGAUGAACCAGGUCAACCACGUUAAAGCGCAUCAGGCCCUGUGCCUGGCGCGGAACUGGACGAAUUUCUGCCUUAUCAGCUAUGAUGACUGUGCAGUGAACAGUCAUGGUAUUAACGAGUACGGGGAAUUAGGGUUCGACUCCGGAGAGGGCGCCUGAGAAACGGCGACCAGAUCUAAGGAUUGCAGCAGGCACGCAAAUUGCCCAAUGGCAGCACGUUGUUGAGGCAGUGACGAGAAAUAACAACACCGGCAGAUUACAUAUCGGCCGGUGAUUGUAAUGGACGGUACCCAAAGCCACUGAUGAGUACCCACUGGAGGGCAAGUCCGGUGCCAGCAGCCGCGGUAAUUCCAGCUCCAGUAGCAUACACUAAUUUUGUUGCGGUUAAAAAGCUCGUAGUUGGAUUCGGAGCUGUGGAUUGCAGGUUUUGGUCGGGCGCUAAGCUCCGCAAGGAGCUGUGUCGCACAACCUCCUGCACUCGAUCCUGGCUCUAUUUCUCAAGCAUGCCUUCUUCAAUCAAGAGCGAUAGCAUGGGGAUCUAAGAUGAUCAGAUACCGUUGUAGUCCAUGCUGUAAACGCUGCCAGCGAGGCUUCGGACGUCAGAUCUGGCAUCCCGACUCGUCCGGCGCCGUCCCCCAUAACGAGAAAUCCAAGCCUGGGUUCCGGGGGGAGUACGUCCGCAAGGCCGAAACUUAAAGGAAUUGACGGAAUGGCACCACAAGGCGUGGAGUGUGCGGCUUAAUUUGACUCAACACGGGAAACCUCGCCAGGUCCGGACUCACUGAGGAUUGACAGAUUGAGAGCUCUUUCUUGAUCGUGAGGGUGGUGGUGCAUGGCCGUGCUGGGUUGGUGGAGUGAUUUGUCUGCUUAAUUGCGAUAACGAACGAGAUCACAACCUCUCACUCGGGCUCUGCUUCGCAUUUAGGUAGGGGUGGUUCUGUGCCUGCUCCUUGUGGGUGGGUGCUGAACCGAUUUUACGCCCCGAGAGGCAGGGACUUCAAGCCUUAGAGGGACUGGCGGUGCCCCCUCAACCCCCGGAAGAAUGUGCCUUUCACAGGUCUGUGAUGCUCCGCAAUGUUCUGGACUGCACGCGCACUACACUGGCAUAGUCAACGAGCGACCGACCGCAUUCUUGCGGUUCCUAAUUGGAAGCGAUUUGGAAAUCUUUGUAAACUGUGUCGUGACCGGGGAUAGGUGAUUGCAAUUAUUCGUCCUGAACGAGGAAUGCCCAGUAAGGGCGAGUCAUCAGCUCGCCCUGAUUGCGUCCCUGGCAUUUGUACACACCGCCCGUCGUUGUCGUCGAUUGGCUGUAGCAUAGAGGCGUUGAGAGGCUACGGUUGGGAGUUCGCUCCCUUCUGUCCCGCAAGGGGUUGGCCAAACUUCUCCAAUAUGCCACAGCUAGAGACGAUAAAAGUCGUAACAAGGUAGCUGUAGGUG
rnacentral:rRNA from 1 species